rnacentral:rRNA from 1 species
UACGAAGGGGGCUAGCGUUGCUCGGAAUCACUGGGCGUAAAGGGUGCGUAGGCAGGUCUUUAAGUCAGGGGUGAAAUCCUGGAGCUCAACUCCAGAACUGCCUAUGAUACUGAAGAUCUUGAGUUCGGGAGAGGUGAGUGGAACUGCGAGUGUAGAGGUGAAAUUCGUAGAUAUUCGCAAGAACACCAGUGGCGAAGGCGGCUCACUGGCCCGAUACUGACGCUGAGGCACGAAAGCGUGGGGAGCAAACAGG